rnacentral:rRNA from 1 species
UACGUAGGUGGCAAGCGUUGUCCGGAUUUACUGGGCGUAAAGAGCGCGCAGGCGGUCGUGCAAGUCGCGUGUGAAAGCCCCCGGCUCAACUGGGGAGGGUCACGCGAUACUGCUCGACUUGAAGGCAGGAGAGGGAAGUGGAAUUCCCGGUGUAGUGGUGAAAUGCGUAGAUAUCGGGGGGAACACCAGUGGCGAAGGCGACUUCCUGGCCUGUUCUUGACGCUGAGGCGCGAAAGCUAGGGUAGCAAACGGG